rnacentral:rRNA from 1 species
CACGACAUCAACAACCAGUAUGUUCAAAGAACACAUCAAUCAUAUCCGCGGUGGUUAGUAUCAGUGCUUUAUCAUGGGCGCGGACAUACGGGUACCAGAAUAUCAACUGGUUAUCCAUCGACUACGCCUGUCGGCCUCGCCUUAGGUCCCGACUCACCCUGGGAAGACGAACUUGACCCAGGAACCCUUAGUCAUCCGGCGGGAAGGAUUCUCACCUUCCAAUUCGUUACUC